AGCGAACGCUGGCGGCAGGCUUAACACAUGCAAGUCGAGCGGGCGUAGCGAAUACGUCAGCGGCAGACGGGUGAGUAACGCGUGGGAACAUACCUUUUGGUUCGGAACAACACGAGGGAAACUUGUGCUAAUACCGGAUAAGCCCUUACGGGGAAAGAUUUAUCGCCGAAAGAUUGGCCCGCGUCUGAUUAGCUAGUUGGUGAGGUAACGGCUCACCAAGGCGACGAUCAGUAGCNGGUCUGAGAGGAUGAUCAGCCACAUUGGGACUGAGACACGGCCCAAACUCCUACGGGAGGCAGCA
rnacentral:rRNA from 1 species